rnacentral:rRNA from 1 species
UACGUAGGCAGCGAGCGUUGUUCGGAGUUACUGGGCGUAAAGGGUGUGUAGGCGGUUGUUUAAGUUUGGUGGGAAAUCUCCCGGCUCAACUGGGAGGGUGCGCCGAAUACUGAAUGACUUGGAGUGCGGGAGAGGAGAGUGGAAUUCCUGGUGUAGCGGUGAAAUGCGUAGAUAUCAGGAGGAACACCGGUGGUGUAGACGGCUCUCUGGACCGUAACUGACGCUGAGACACGAAAGCGUGGGGAUCAAACAGG